GACGAACGCUGGCGGCGUGCUUAACACAUGCAAGUCGAACGGAAAGGCCCUGCUUUUGUGGGGUGCUCGAGUGGCGAACGGGUGAGUAACACGUGAGUAACCUGCCCUUGACUUUGUGAUAACUUCAGGAAACUGGGGCUAAUACCGGAUAGGAGCUCCUGCUGCAUGGUGGGGGUUGGAAAGUUUCGGCGGUUGGGGCUGGACUCGCGGCUUAUCCGCUUGUUGGUGGGGUAGUGGCUUACCAAGGCUUUGACGGGUAGCCGGCCUGAGAGGGUGACCGGCCACAUUGGGACUGAGAUACGGCCCAGACUGCUACGGGAGGCAGCAGGGGGGAAUAUUGCACAAUGGGCGGAAGCCUGAUGCAGAAACGUCGCGUGCGGGAUGACGGGCUUCGGGUUGUAAACCGCUUUGGCCUGUGACGAAGCGUGAGUGACGGUAAUGGGUAAAGAAGCACCGGCUAACUACGUG
rnacentral:rRNA from 1 species